UACAGAGGGUGCGAGCGUUGUCCGGAAUCACUGGGCGUAAAGGGCGCGUAGGCGGCCUGAUAAGUAGGGGGUGAAAUCCCGUGGCUCAACUGCAGGGCUGCCUCCUAGACUGUCGGGCUUGAGCACGGUAGAGGCAGAUGGAAUUCCCGGUGUAGCGGUGGAAUGCGUAGAGAUCGGGAGGAACACCAGAGGCGAAGGCGGCGACCUGGACAGGCACUGACACUCAACUACGAAAGCGUGGGGAGCAAACAGG
rnacentral:rRNA from 1 species